GAGUGUUGCAUCUCGCCAAUGACAGUUAUGGCAUCGAGCCAUUAGACUCCGCCCCUGACCAGCACCUGAUGUACCGCCUGCAGGAUGUGACAUCACAGCCUCGGGGGUGUGGCACGCCACACUACGAUGGGCAUGAGCAUGACAGCAACACCACGGAGCAUGCUCAGUACAAACCAGAGGAAAUCCACCACAAACACCACAGCAGGAUGAAGCGAGCUAUUCUCCAUCAGACUUACUACGUGGAGCUGCUGCUGGUGGUUGAUAAUGAAAGGUACAAUUAUAUGAACAACA